rnacentral:rRNA from 1 species
CGGGGAGCAGCCCAGAGCCUGAAUCAGUGUGUGUGUUAGUGGAAGCGUCUGGAAAGGCGCGCGAUACAGGGUGACAGCCCCGUACACAAAAAUGCACAUGCUGUGAGCUCGAUGAGUAGGGCGGGACACGUGGUAUCCUGUCUGAAUAUGGGGGGACCAUCCUCCAAGGCUAAAUACUCCUGACUGACCGAUAGUGAACCA